AUGGGGAGUACGUGCCUUUUUUCAGCCACCCCCCGUCUCCCUUCGCCCACAACCGUCCAGACGGGCUUCGCCGCCACGGAGACAUCCCGGUGCCGGUGUUUCACCGGGUUGGGCGGAUGGGUGGUGGAGGUGGAGGGGGGUACGCUCUCGACUCCAUUCUUCGGGUGCUUGGCGCCCCACCCCUCCCCCGCCUUAGCCCUCCCCACCCUCUGGUUCUGCCACCGGCUCGGUCCCUCUCAUUCGGCCUCCUCGGUUUGCAUCGAGGAGCUGGAUGAGGACGUGCGGUGCAUGGGGGGGAGGGAGAGGCGCAGUGCGAGGCUGGCGCUCGCGGACUCCGGCAGGUUCGUGCCGAUUGUCGACAAGGCGGUCAAGCGACGGGCCGUGAAGGACGCGUUGAUUGGCUGUUCUCCGAGGCUCCAGGCGAGGGCGGCCAGGGAGCGCGUCCUGGAUGCGGCGGUGCAGCCGCUCUCGGCUACUUCUGUUACCGGGCUGCGCACGGCUGCAGCCCUCAAGACCUCGGUGCCCCUGGGUAUCUGUGUGUGCCUAUGGUUAGUCGUGUCCAGUGUCUCUCCUUCCUAUUUUGGAAUCUGCAAGGGCUGGGCGACUGCGAUAAGUGCGACCUUGUUCGUAACUCCCUCUCCUCGGUCGUCCCCUCUGUUGCCUGUUUGCACGAAACCAAGCUGGCGACGCUUGACGCUCAAAAAGCCCGGUCCUUCCUUCCUAGCCCCCUUUCUGACUUUGUCUCUAAGGAUGCGGAUGGCUCUCGUGGUGGCGUCUAUCCACGGGCCAUGGCUGGUGGUGGGUGACUUUAAUCUCAUCCGUCUCCCGCGGGAGAAGAACAACAACCGUUUCGAUGCUGGGCGUGCGGGCACGUUCAACUCCAUGAUCAAUUCUUUGGCUUGGCAUGAGCUGCCUCUUACUGAUCAAUUCUUUGUCUCCAUCGUGACCCGCCUGCCGCCUGCCGGUCGCUUCUUCUUUGAAACCUCGUGGCUUCUGGACCCUGGGUUCCUUCCUGCAGUUUUGCCUUCCUGGUCCCGCGCCCCCCUCUCCCCUUGCGCCGCGACCCGCCUCGCUCGUCAGAAGAAACGACUCAGGUUUGCUGCCAAGGUAUGGAAACGACAACACAAAUUCAUUCCUGUUUUCGAUAACAACUGCACGUUCCUGAUUGACCUGAUAGAUUUCUGGGAGGAGUGCCGGCGGCUGUCCGGGGCCGAAGAGGAGCUGCGGCGUGACGCUCGGAUCCAGUUGGCGGCCUCGGUGGCGCGGCAGGCGGCCUACUGGCGUCAACGUGGGAAGUGUCGGGCGGUGGCGGAGGGGGACGAGAACACCGGCUAUUUCCACGCUCGCGCCUCCCACCGUCGUAGGUGCAACGCCAUCCGGGUGCUCGCGGUGGACGGCGUCGAGCUGGUGGCGCACCAGGCCAAGGAGGCGGCCAUGCGUCGCUUCUACUCCGCCCUGCUGGGUCGAGGCCCCGUUACCACCUGGGGGUUCGAUCUGGCUGCCCUCUACGCUGCGGCUCCCCGGGUGGACGGCGCCCCCCUGGUGGCUCCUUUCUCCCGGGCGGAGAUCCGAGCUGCUAUCUUCGCCCUGGACCGGACGAGCGCGCCGGGCCUGGACGGCCUAGGCCCGGCCUUCUACCAGGCCGCCUGGCCGGUGGUCACGGACGACCUGCAGCGCCUCUUCAACGACGUCCACAGUGGCGUGGCUUCGCUUGACGGGAUCAACUGGGCUCUCAUUGCCUUGCUCCCGAAGAAGGAGGGGGUGCCGGGGCCUGGCGAUUUCCGUCCUGUCUCGCUCCAGAACGGGGAUGUGAAAAUCCUGUGCCGUGGGCUGACCUCUCGGCUCCAGUCGCAGAUUGGAGCCAUCAUCGAUGAGGAUCAGUCAGGGUUCCUGUCCGGGCGCAGCAUCUCGGAGAACUUUGUCUAUGCGGUGGAGUUGGUGCAGUGCUGUCACCGGAGAGGGGUGCCCACGCUCGUGUUCAAGCUGGAUUUCGCUAAAGCGUUCGACUCCAUCGCCUGGCUGAGCCUCCGCCGGAUCAUGGAGGUCAGGGGGUUUCCGGCUCUCUGGUGGAGAUCCCAUCUCCCAUACCUGUUCCUCCUGGUCGCGGACGUCCUCCAGCGCAUGAUCAGGGGCGAAGGGGCUCUCUGCCACCCCCUGGUGGGAGGGGCGCCGGCGGUGGUCCUCCAGUACGCGGACGACACGCUGAUCAUCAUGCAUGCCGACCCCGCAGGUGCGGCACGGCUUCGGAUCAUCCUCGGCCUCUUCGCGGCAGCCACCGGCCUCGUCAUCAACUUCUCCAAAAGCACGCUGGUCCCGAUGAACGUCGAGCGCGGGGUCCUCACCGCCGUCCUGGCAUCCUUCGAGUGCGCUGUGGGGUCCUUCCCCCAGUCGUACCUUGGCUUGCCUCUCUCGUCUGACAAGCUCAAGCUUGAAGACUUCGCCCCCAUGCUUGCCAAGGUGGAUCGUUACCUUGCCGGGUGGCGGGCUCGGCUACUCUCGCCGGCUGGUCGGUUGGUGUUGAUCAAUGCCGUUGUCGACUCCAUCCCCACAUAUGCCAUGGCGGCCAUGCGUCUUCCGCGGGCGGUCCUGGAUCGCUUGGACGCGUUGCGACGAGCGUUCCUCUGGAACGUGGCGGACAGGGCGUCGGGAGCCCAAUGCCUGGUUACCUGGGAGCGCGUCUGCCGCUCCAAAGCCGAGGGAGGACUCGGCGUCCGGUCUCUCCGGGAUCAGAACGACUGCCUCCUUCUCAAGCUGCUUCACAGGUCACACUCUGGGGCGCCGUCCCGGUGGGCCGGCUGGGUCUGGGCCCAGACGGGAGGAGGGUCUCUCUUGGCGCCAGGACGACCCCCUAUCCUCGGUGAGCACUGGCGGUCCCUGCUCGAGCUAUUGUCCGCUUACCGGGCCCUUACGAGGGUGGGGGUUGGGGGCGGCGGCAUGACGGCGAUCUGGCAAGACCGGUGGUUGCCAUGCGGGGCGCUCGACGCCCGACGCUACGGCGUCCGUGCUCUCCUUGUUCCCCGUCUCACCCCCAUGGCGGUGCGCGAGUGCGCCGCUGUGCAGAGGCUCCUGGAUGAGGUGCCGCCUCGGGAUGGCCAUGACUUCCGGGUGGCUACCCUUUGCUCGGGGCCAAAGGGCAGAAUCUCGUCGCGGGGGGUCUACAGCCUCGUACUCUUCGGGGCGGUUGCGUGGUCGCCGGCGCCCUUCCUCUGGACGUCCCGGGCUCCAUCACGCGUGGCGUUCUUCGGUUGGCUGCUGUCCCUGGCUCGCAUUCAUACAAGGGAUGUGCUCCUGCGGAAAACCAUCCCGACGGCGGCGGAGGCGGGGUGCCCAUGCUGCUCGGCCGCGCUGGAGACUGCGAACCACCUCAUCUUCGGGUGCCCCUUUGCGGCGCGGUUCUGGCGGUGCCUCGGUAUCGCAAUGGAGGGUAGAACGGUGGAGUCCAUCCACCGUCUGGACGCGUCGCCUGUUGUGGUGGCGGGGGCGUCGUCUGCUGCCUUCAUCCUCCUCUGCUGCUGGCGGCUUUGGAAACGUCGGAACGCGGUCGUCUUCCGCAAUGAUCGGCAGUCUCUCCCUACCACCCUCAAAGCCUGCCGCGACGAUGCCGUUCUCUGGCGGGCAAGGCUGCCCCCCGGUGACCACGCUCAUAUUGACGUGUGGCUAGCUUCUUCCUCCAGUCCGGCCGCUGCCGCCCCUUCCUUCAGCCGGUCGCGCCGGCCACGCCGGUCGCGUCCAACCCCGUCGGCCGCGCCCCAUUGCCCGCAGGCUAUGUCGCGUCACCCGUCGGCUGCGUCUUGCCCCUAUCGGUCGCGCCCCAUCACCGCGCCGGCCGCGCCCAGCAUCUCCGGCCACGCCUCGUCGCCUCCGUCGUCCGCGCCCAGCUUUGCCGGCCACGCCCCGCCGCCUCGGCCGUCCGCGCCUUGCUCUAUUGGCAGCCGAGUCGUGCCCUUUUGCCUGCCGCGCCGGGAGGAUUCCGGCGGCCAGGCUGAGAGAUGCUCUAAGGGUGCUGAUGUGCAGCGCGCUGGCGGCGGUGCAGUGCCAGCGGGUGCUUGCUAUGGUGGACGAGAUCCGGCAUUGGAGCAGGUGCGUCGCGGCACGACCCAUAGCUGGCCACAGCCGAGGAGGCCAACCGGCGCCGGAUCUCGGCUGCUCCACGACCGUCCGAGUGUGGAGAUGAAUAGAGGAAAAGUGGCGGGGUUGAGCUGCAUGCCUGAUCCAACCACCGGAUUGGACGAAGGCCCUCCUGCCCGGCUGGUCCUCUUCCCUCCCGACGAGGAAGAACGGGUACGAUGCAAUGGAGGAGAGCCCACUCACGAGGACGGCCGCCUUGGCCGGCGUGGCGCGGCGCCUUUGCGGGUGGGCAUUUUCCUACAGAUCCUAGUGGCUGAUUUCACCAAGCUUGAAGGCGAUGAUGCGAACCCACCAGCACGAAGUUAUCCAUGCUAUGAGCACAUAACACAAGAGUGCCUGGAUAAGCUGGCUAAUGCGAAUUGGGAAACUUUAGAGGACACGGAAUUCGCUGACAGUAUUUACGCCAAGCCUUACCAUCCACCAAGUGCUAGCACAAGAUCCUCCCCACAGCCCCGAAAGUUGUUCUCGCCCCUCGACCAUCGUAAUUUUGAGUGCAUUAUUGCCAGGCUGCUAAAGACACAUAACUGGUGUAAAAGUUGCACGUCGCAGAUGCUCUCGUUUUCUUAA
rnacentral:rRNA from 1 species